rnacentral:snRNA from 14 species
GUACUUACCCAGCAUGGAAGGACAGCCUGAUCUGGAAGGUGGUUUUCCCAGGGUGAGACUCAUCUCUUGCAUUCUGAGAGUGCUGAUCUUUGAUUUUCCCAUAUGCAGGAAACUCAGCUGCACUGUUUGUGGUCAACUGGGCCAUGGUCACUCUCUUCCUGU